UACGGGGGGGGGCAAGCGUUGUUCGGAAUUACUGGGCGUAAAGGGCUCGUAGGUGGCCAACUAAGUCAGACGUGAAAUCCCCUCGGCUUAACCGGGGAACUGCGUCUGAUACUGGAUGGCUUGAGUUCGGGAGAGGGAUGCGGAAUUCCAGGUGUAGCGGUGAAAUGCGUAGAUAUCAGGAGGAACACCGGUGGCGAAGGCGGCUCUCUGGACGGUGACUGACGCUGAGACGCGAAAGCGUGGGAGCAAACAGG
rnacentral:rRNA from 1 species